UAAAACAAACAGUUUUGGGUUGGACAGGUGGAGAACAGAUUUUCAGGUAUCAUAGAUGAAUUAUAUUAUCUCAGUGUGACUACUCAUGCAGUUAGGCACUGUAAACUGCAGUUUAAAACUCAACUAAAUACAUGCAGCAUGUUAUCGAGACCGUUUUUCAGGGAAGAAAACUGAGACAAUGAGGUAGAGUGAAUUAUGUUCUAAGGCAGGUCAAGAAGGAUCCAUGAGUUUGUUCCUUGAGCUAGACUGUUCAUUUACUGUAAGACUUUAACCAAAUCCCUUAGGAGUCAUGCUAGAAUGGAGAUAUUGGCAUUUAUUUGCAUGCUCCCUGUGAGAAUUAAACAAGAGGUUUUGUACAGUUUCCUGUAAGAAUCAGUUACUCUGUCCUCUGUGCAAACUGGAGACACAAAACUAUGCAUAUAUGCAUAGCUGAUAAUGGAGAAUGAGGGGAAAUUCUCUUUUGCAUGUGCUAGGCUUCUCACUUCCAGGGAGGCUGAGGAGAGCAAGACAUUGUCAGGAUAUGCAAAUAAGGGGGAACGGGAGGAAUCUGGGGUGUAAAAUGCAAACCACGAGGUUUUUCUAUAUCUAUGGAGAUACUGUUUUUGAAAGAAAGUGAGAAAACUGUAUUAAUGAGGCUCUCAGCCUGUGCUGGGAGAGAUCACAUCGUGGUCUUAUCCUCCCAGUUGAAAUAUUUACUGUCUCCAAAGCCACAGUUUCAAAGGUAGGCAAAGUUACUUUAUCCCUCCCAGCUUGCGAUGAACUCAGCUUCCCCCAGACUGCUUGGUGGACCUGACAGCUCAGGCCUGAGCAACUGCAACGAUCUUCAAUGUGUGUGGCUAUAAAAUGACUUCUAUUAAGUUUUGUAAUACAGUUUCAACCUCAUACGUUGCAUCUGCUUCUACCCAGAAGAUUAUUUUGCUGGUGUACAGUGUGGUACAAUUCACGGAUGGGGGCAUUUGAUAAUCAUUGUUCUGCUGGAUAAGAGGAGAGAUAUACAUAUAAAAUGUCAUUACAGAAUAUCCUAAUUCACUAAAACAUGACUUAUCCUAACAGGCUGGUAACGAAACAUCAGAAAAUUAACAGAUCAUUGCACCUAAAGAGAGGAAUGAUAAUGUGAUUUUGAUACUACAGUUGGACUGUGGUGACUGGCAGAUACAAAAUUUUCUAACAUAUCUUUCAAAAGAAAAAUGUAAGUUAACAAAACCCCUAAAUUUGGGAUAAUAACGACACUGUUUUGUUUGAAAAUGUCUCAUUUUAAGCAGAAAUUCUACGUAUUAAGAUAUAUAUUGAGAUACAUUCAUUCUGAAAUAAUGCAUAAACUGUCUCCUAAAUGCGGACUAGGAUGCAAUGAUGUUUGUAUCUGUUCACUGAAACAAGCAGAAAGGGUUCUAGAAUGUGGGUCUCCUGUCUUCCAGGUUAGUAGCUGUUCUGGGGCAGUGAAGGUAGUCUUUUGCACUUGUCUUGCAUGAAUUUUUGGUAGACUCUUUGUCUACAAAACAUUUUGCUCAAAAAAGAAUGAAAUAAUUUUUAAGACUCAAAAAAUCCCCAUUUUGUAGUAUGGGAAAAAUAUCUAAGACCUUGUUUUCUUAAGGAUAUAAGCUUUUUUUUUUUUUUCUCAGAUUCUUUGUGAUGGUCAGCAAGUCAUCUCUCACUGCUUUAAUUCUUUUUCUAAGAUCUGUUGCUAUUCUCCUGCCUCAUAUUAUCUGUAUGGACGCUAUUCCUAUAAAAAUUCCUGACUGUAUGUUGAACACAGACCAGUGUUAAAGGGGGCAUCUCCCCAGGCUGGCAUGAGAAUCAGAGCUGUGGCAUCAGACAGGAAUGUCUCACCUACUGUUGCUGGGGUGCAGAGCCUUCAGAUGCUCCUCAAAAAGAAGCCAGUCCUUUCCCAAGAUCUCAGUGUAUAGAAGUUAUAGAAACAAGUUGGAGUUCUGUCUGCAAAAGUAGAAGCUGGUAUUUUGUUGAAGUAAACGAGAACUUUGCCACUGACUUCUCUGUGACUGUGUCUCAGCUGUGAAAACGGCAAGUAUUGGGCCAGUUUGCACAAAAUGCUCAGCACCCUGCAUGAUCUUUUCUACAGAAAAUGACUGCUUUUUAACUCAGGAGGUGUGCAGUUCCUUAUGCUGACAUGACUGGCACCUUUCUGAGAAGUCCUUGCCACUACUGACCUGAUUUUAAGGUAUAAAUAUAAACAUGUAUCAUCUGGACCAGACCUCACUACUAGGAGCUGACUCAGACUGUAUGGCAGGUUUGAAAAUAAAACCUUUUAUCUAAACAAGAGGCUCCUGAAUUUGCUUGUUCUCCUGCGGUUUUCAUCAAUGAUCCUGAAGGAAAAUACCAGUGGAUGCAUAUCACCAAUAGCAAGAAAAUACUAUUUAAAGCUAUUUACCUUCCUAUGUAUUUUUGUUAUGUUCUGUUUCUUUUAUUUGAUUAGUUGGUUGCCAGAAAAGAAGAUGACAUACUAAUUACUUUUGUAAUUGUUACACCAGUAUAGUGCUGACAGUCAAUAUUACUGUGGUCUGCAGUCAGAUAUCUGUAUUGUUACAUAUUACUAUGCAUCAGUGAUUCUUGAUGAUAUAUGAAGUGAAUAUUACUGGGUUUUUUCAACUUCCUAAGGAGGGCUGGAAGCACCCUGAGAAUGUGAGUGCUAAUUAUAUAGACCACAGAGACAAAUUUUUUCUCUUUGCUGAAAUAUAUACAUUAGAAAACAUAGAAACCAGAAAACCUUGGAUGAUCAAUAGUAGCUCUGUUUAGUGUUUAAAAAAGGUUCUGGAGAGUAUUAUGUAUUGCUGAAACUUAUGUAAGAAAAGACAUUAAAAUGCCUCUGUUCUGUGGGA